UCCCUAGUGGUCUAGUGGUUAAGACUCUGCAUUUCCAUUGCAGGAGGCAGGGGUUUGAUCCCUGGUCAGGGAA
rnacentral:tRNA from 1 species